UACGUAGGGGGCAAGCGUUGUCCGGAAUCAUUGGGCGUAAAGAGCGUGUAGGCGGCUUGGUAAGUCCGCUGUGAAAGUCCAGGGCUCAACCCUGGAAUGCCGGUGGAAACUGUCAAGCUUGAGUCCGGAAGAGGCGAGUGGAAUUCCUGGUGUAGCGGUGAAAUGCGCAGAUAUCAGGAGGAACACCAGUGGCGAAGGCGACUACCUGGCCUGUUCUUGACGCUGAGGCGCGAAAGCUAGGGGAGCAAACGGG
rnacentral:rRNA from 1 species